UACGUAGGGGGCUAGCGUUGUCCGGAUUUAUUGGGCGUAAAGAGCGUGUAGGCGGCUUGGCAAGUCUGCUGUGAAAACUCGAGGCUCAACCUCGAGCUGUCGGUGGAAACUGCUUGGCUAGAGUCCGGAAGAGGAGAGUGGAAUUCCUGGUGUAGCGGUGAAAUGCGUAGAGAUCGGGAGGAACAUCAGUUGCGAAGGCGGCUCUCUGGACCAGCACUGACACUGAGGCACGAAAGCGUGGGGAGCAAACAGG
rnacentral:rRNA from 1 species